CAGCUCCUAGGACAGGCUGGUCCCCGGCUUCCACCUCUGCAAUCAGCGUGGCAGCCAGCUUUGCGGCAGGAAGAACUGCGACUCCAGGACAUUCCCACCAGCAGACCUGCAGCACUCGCCCCGGGCCGACACCUUCCACGGCAGGACCACGUGGUCGGCCAGGGAUCCCGUGCACCAGGAGCUCUACCGCGCUGCUUAGGAUUUCAUGUCCCAAGCGUGGCACAGCGGUGGCGUGAAGUUAUGCCGAUGUCCUCGGCAGUGCCCUACGACCGUGGUGACCAGGCCUGGUCCCUGCUCUCGCCAUGCCAGACCCGGCUAGACCAGUCUGAAGGCAGGCACGGAGAAACCUCAGCCAAAGAUGGAACCCACGGCCUGUGUUGAAAGACAGUUCCGGGCUACAGGCCUUCCACCUGCCUGGCCGUGCAGCUACGCCGUGCUGUAGACCCCUCCUCGGAGCAGCACCCCGAACCCACAGCAUCGCCUCAGGAUGCAGUCCCCACAGCGCUCAGCCCGCACUCAGCAGUCAGCUCCGGUCCCUCCCUGCGCC
rnacentral:lncRNA from 1 species